GCUUGUGGCGGGUGCAGGGUUACUCUCCUUGCCAAAACCUUCCGUUUGUUUGCUUCUUACUAAGUGUGUUGUUGCUGUUUGUAGUCAAUUUAUAACUUCAACUCGCGUAUUCAAGAGAUAGAUCUAUCAUGUGAUCCUGAACUUAUUUCGUGACUGCCAACUUCUGUCCGUGCACUGGAAGGGAUACUGUUUGUGACAACUGGUUGGACGUUUGUGUCUUCUUUGACCCUCAAGGUCGGGGUGGUCUGUACUGUUGCCUUCGACUGGCCACGGAUUUACUGAGUGACUGACUGGACAGAACUAAGUGAGGACUUGGCUGACCUCGCUGUGGAUGAGUCGGGAGUGUGAGCAGACCAGAGGCCGAUGCGGCAGCGAACAGAAGCAAGGCCUGAUGCCAGGUCAGCGUGAAUGAGGCAAGACCUUCACUGACCCCUGCUCGGUGUGGAUAAAGAGAACCACCCACAAUGUACGGUCGUCGAUCCUCUCGGGAUUUCACCAGCUACAAAUCGCCGUCCUCUUACGACCGCUAUGGCAGUAGCCUGGGAUCGGGACGACAUUACGGACAGGUGAGUACAAAGAAAGGAGAACGAUUUAGUGGA